AUUCUCUCUUCUCUUUUUUUU
rnacentral:sRNA from 1 species